rnacentral:rRNA from 1 species
CGGGUGAGUAACGCGUGAGGAAUCUGCCUUCAGGACGGAGACAACAGUUGGAAACGACUGCUAAGCCCCGAUGAACCGAAAGGGAAAAUAUUAUAGCCUGAAGAUGAGCUCGCGUCCGAUUAGCUAGUUGGCGGUAGUAAAAGCCCACCAAGGCGACGAUCGGUAGUCUGGUCUGAGAGGACGAUCACGCCACACUGGGACUGAGACACGGCCCAGACUCCUACGGGAGGCAGCAGUGGGGAAUUUUCCGCAAUGGGCGAAAGCCUGACGGAGCAAGACCGCGUGGGGGAAGAAGGCUCUUGGGGUUCGUAAACCCCCUUUUUCUACGUAGGGAAGUAAAGUUGUAGAAAGCAAACCUGACGGUACCAGAGGAAUCAGCAUCGGGACUAACGUCCGUGACCAGGACAGGCCGGCGGUAAGGACGGAGGAUGCAAGCGUUACUCGGAAUGAGUUGGGCGUAAAGCGUACCGCGAGGUGGCUAGUUCAAGUCUGUCUAGUACGAAACGACCCGGGGUCUUAACGUUACGGAAAGGCGAAGUAGGAAACGUAGAACGAGCGUAGAGUAGUGGAGGGACGG